rnacentral:rRNA from 1 species
GGUACGGGGGGGGCAAGCGUUGUUCGGAAUUACUGGGCGUAAAGGGCUCGUAGGCGGCCAACUAAGUCGGAUCGUGAAAUCCCCAGGCUUAACCUGGGAACUGCAUCCGAUACUGGAUGGCUUGAAUCCGGGAGAGGGAUGCGGAAUUCCAGGUGUAGCGGUGAAAUGCGUAGAUAUCAGGAAGAACACCCGUGGCUAAGGCGGUUCUCUAGUACGGUACUGACGCUGAGACGCGAAAGCGUGGGGAGCGAACAGG